AACGAACGCUGGCGGCGUGGAUAAGACAUGCAAGUCGAACGGGAUAUUUUUGUAGCAAUACCGGAAUAUUCAGUGGCGAACGGGUGCGUAACACGUGGGUAACAUGCCGGGAAGUGGAGAAUAGCCCAGGGAAACUUGGAUUAAUGCUCCAUGUGGUCGCAAGACUAAAGACGGGGUAACCUGUCGCUUCCUGAUUGGCCCGCGGCCUAUCAGCUAGUUGGCGAGGUAACGGCUCACCAAGGCGACGACGGGUAGCUGGUCUGAGAGGAUGACCGGCCGCACGGGAACGGAGACACGGUUCAGACACCUACGGGUGGCAGCAGUCGAGAAUCGUUCACAGUGGGGGCAACCCUGAUGGAGCGACGCCGCGUGGAGGAUAAGGUCGUCGGAUUGUAAACUCCUGCCAUGCGAGAGUAAGGCUCAUGCGUUAACUGCGUGUGAGAGUGACAGUACCGCAAGAGGAAGAGACGGCUAACUCUGUGCCAGCCGCCGCGGUAAUAC
rnacentral:rRNA from 1 species